UACAGAGGUCUCGAGCGUUAGGCGGAAUCACUGGGCUUAAAGCGUGUGUAGGUGGAUGCCUAAGUACCUUGUGAAAUCCCACGGCUUAACCGUGGAACUGCUUGGUAUACUGGGUGUCUUGAGUCACUCAGGGGCGAGCGGAACAAAUGGUGGAGCGGUGAAAUGCGUAGAUAUCAUUUGGAACGCCAAUGGUGAAAACAGCUCGCUGGGGGUGCACUGACACUGAGACACGAAAGCCAGGGGAGCGAACGGGG
rnacentral:rRNA from 1 species